rnacentral:rRNA from 1 species
UAGGGAAUCUUCGGCAAUGGACGAAAGUCUGACCGAGCAACGCCGCGUGAGUGAAGAAGGUUUUCGGAUCGUAAAACUCUGUUGUUAGAGAAGAACAAGGACGUUAGUAACUGAACGUCCCCUGACGGUAUCUAACCAGAAAGCCACGGCUAACUACGUGCCAGCAGCCGCGGUAAUACGUAGGUGGCAAGCGUUGUCCGGAUUUAUUGGGCGUAAAGCGAGCGCAGGCGGUUUCUUAAGUCUGAUGUGAAAGCCCCCGGCUCAACCGGGGGGGGUCAUUGGAAACUGGGAGACGUGAGUGCAGAAGAGGAGAGUGGAAUUCCAUGUGUAGCGAUGAAAUGCGUAGAUAUAUGGAGGAACACCAGUGGCGAAGGCGGCGCUCUGGUCUGUAACUGACGCUGAGGAUCGAAAGCGUGGGGAGCAAACAGG